rnacentral:rRNA from 1 species
UACGAAGGGUGCAAACGUUGCUCGGAAUUAUUGGGCGUAAAGCGCGCGUAGGCGGCUCGGAAAGUCGGGCGUGAAAUGCCGGGGCUCAACCCCGGGACUGCGUCCGAUACUUCCGAGCUGGAGGUAGGUAGGGGAGAUCGGAAUUCCUGGUGUAGCGGUGAAAUGCGCAGAUAUCAGGAGGAACACCGGUGGCGAAGGCGGAUCUCUGGGCCUUACCUGACGCUGAGGCGCGAAAGCUAGGGGAGCGAACAGG